ACGUACACUCCUACGGGAGGCAGCAGUGGGGAAUUUUGGACAAUGGGCGAAAGCCUGAUCCAGCCAUGCCGCGUGCAGGAUGAAGGCCUUCGGGUUGUAAACUGCUUUUGUACGGUACGAAACGGCCUUUUCUAAUAAAGAGGGCUAAUGACGGUACCGUAAGAAUAAGCACCGGCUAACUACGUGCCAGCAGCCGCGGUAAUACGUAGGGUGCAAGCGUUAAUCGGAAUUACUGGGCGUAAAGCGUGCGCAGGCGGUUAUGUAAGACAGUUGUGAAAUCCCCGGGCUCAACCUGGGAACUGCAUCUGUGACUGCAUAGCUAGAGUACGGUAGAGGGGGAUGGAAUUCCGCGUGUAGCAGUGAAAUGCGUAGAUAUGCGGAGGAACACCGAUGGCGAAGGCAAUCCCCUGGACCUGUACUGACGCUCAUGCACGAAAGCGUGGGGAGCAAACAGGAUUAGAUACCCCAGUAGUCCCA
rnacentral:rRNA from 1 species